CCCCUCCCGGCCCGGGGCCCGUCCGCGAACCGGGGGCAUCUGCCCUCCUCGGGGCCCGGGCGGAGCUUGAGGUCCGGGCUCUGCGGGGGAGGCGGUGCGCACCCUCCCGCCGAGCCCGGCGCCUCCCAGCCUGCGGAGCCGCAGCCCCGAGCCCCCUGCGGCCGAGAGGAAGCGAGAGUUAUUUUAAGAAUUCAGGGGUUGCCUUUCCUUCGCCUUGGGGGAAGGGUGUGAGCGUCAGUUCCCACUUUCCUGCGUUAUCUCGGCCACUGCGGUGUCUUCGAGAUGCUGAGCAUUUGUUAUGUUCCAUCUAAUAGCAAGCGUGAUCGUGAGGUGUGUGUAUGUAUGUGUGUGUCUGUCUGUUUGAAUUACCCCAAAUCCACCCAACUUAUUGUGAUCUCAGAAACUCGUUGAACCCAGGCUUCUCAGUUUCCUAGCUAAGUGUGAACUGGGGCCCGUUACUGAAAUUCUAGGUUAGGGUUUCCUUGUCUACCUUCUGAGCUAUUUAUUGCAUGUAAAGCCCCAAGCACAUACUAGGCAUUCCAUAAACUGUGCUGUUAUUAUUGCAAAUAAUUUAUCCAUAACAACGAGGCUCCCUGGUUCUUUGCAGUUUGAAGAUUUUAAACCUAAGACGGCUUAUCCAAUUUAGCCACUUGACCUUACUGAUACACUGCAUAAUAAAUACACCAGUGAUUUACUGUCUCAAAGCAGGGCCCGGAGUCUGACUCAGGCUAAGAACAAGCCAAUGAGGAGGUUUGACUUACUUUUGAUUUCUUGGCUACCUCCAGCUGGCUGUAGGGUUCAGAAGGGCCGGCAUGGGGGUAGGGGGUGGGUCUCUCUCUCCAGCACCUUCUAAAGCAGGCUGGAGGGGAAUAGGCACUUACUGAGUCCUCCCAAUCUGUCCUGAUAAGGUAAGCUUUGAUAGAAAAGGGUAGGAUUCAGGUGGCUCCUAGUUCUCUCUUGAAGUCAGUCUUUUGAGGCUUGAAGUCGUUUAAUUUGAUCACAAGAGACUCUUGGUAACUGGUCCUCUUUGGAUGCAGAAUGGGGUAGCCUUCUUCCUGAGAGAAGAAUAGAGAGCAGCCGAUGUGAAGGGAGAGAAACCAGGAGCCAGGAAGCCUGAGUUUGGGUGUCUUCCAUCACUUUUCAGAACUGUGAUUUGGGAUAAAUUACUUGGACCAUUUAUCCCAUCAACAUCUCCUUCACAAUGGUAAUUAGAAUUAUAUUAUGAUUUGCCCAUAAGUGUAUAGUCCGUUUUCACCACUACAAUGAAAUGUCUGUGCAAACAGCUUUGUCUGGUUUGUCCAGAACGCCAGCCCUGGUGCCUGUCACAUGGUCAAGAUUGCUUGGAAGAAGGAAGGAGGGUCUCCUCCAAACCUCACUCCGUGCAAGUCUGAGGAACAGGGCUGGCCCCUAAGUUAUCUGUAGCCCACUGGCCCUCUAGUCCUGGCUUCUAAAAUGGGAAUUGGAGGAAGUUGACUGUCAGGUUAUCCCAGCGCUAGAGUUCUCCACUCAGGGCUAGUUUCCACUCUUCGAACACUGAGAGAGAAGUCUUGAUUCGAAGUGGUAAGAUGCAGCCUGCAAAGCUGACAUCUGGGCAAGCCGUUAUGCAAUCAAAAAGACACAUAACAUCCUAGAAUCAUCAAUGUUGGAAAGGUUUGUAGAGUACUUGUGUGAUACCUGAAUGCUGCUCAUGGCAUUCUCUUAGCAGAAAAUGGUCCGGCGAGGUAGUGAUUCAAUGAUUCCCAAAGCCUUUUAGUUCCAUUAUUAUUGUAUUUUAAAAAAAAAUCACCAAAACUUUUGAGAUGCAAACUGGUUCAAAUGAAUAUAUGGGUUUGUAAAUUACAACGUGAAAUCAUAUUAUCCAUAAACGAACCCAUAUUCAUUUAAAAUCUGCACAAAUGAGAGCACAUGCCCCUCAGCAUGGAACAUUGCUGUGGCCCACUUACACCAUUGAUCUGUGACCUCCACGUCCUCAGGCAUGGGGAGAGUUGAAAAGAAAAGAUCAUUGCAUCACUAGUUGGGAUGCUAUCAGUGACAUGUUGAUGUCAGAGACAGUCUCAGACCUUUCCUUGGCUCUUUCUGCCAAUGGUGGUACUGAUGAUUUUUUUGUCAAUCCAGGGCUCUGAAGCCUUCUGAACGCUGAUAACCUCCAAACCUCUCAGGACCCUGCACAGUAGGCAGGGACCUAAAAAAGAGGGGGGGGGGGGUUGGCAUGACCAGUGUCACAGGCCUGAUUAAGUGACAUCAUUGGGCCUAGUAGGUAUGUUUUCCCACUCCAGCUCUGAGAGCUUUUCCCACUUUUCUGCCUUUGGAUCUGUAGUAGGUACUCCAUUACUUAAAAGUAAAGAAACGAACUCAUCAUUUAAGAAACAUUUUAAGGACAGAAUCACAAGGUCAUCUUCUUCUAUCAUAUGGAGAUGGUCUGCACUAGGGGACUGUCAGAGUAAAUGAGCAGGUGGACCAGUGAGCAGGGUGCGGAGGCUGUUCUGUCGAGCUGAAUUUCUGCCUUUCAACUUUGCUACCUGCUCAGGGAAGGGGGAGCCCUGAUAACUCCCCAGAUGACAUCUGUCCUGGUCACUGUCAGAACAGCACUAGUGACUGCCUUCAGGACUGUUCCAUGCUUAUGGGUCAGUGUGUUGUUGUUUAGUCGCUAAGUCGUGCCCAGCACUUUUGCGACCCCGUGGACGGUAGCCCACCAGGCUCUUCUAUUCUUGGGAUUUCCCAGGCAAGAAUCCUGGAGCGGGUUGCCAUUUCCUUUUCCAGAGGAUCUUCCUGACCCAAGGAUCCAACUGGAGUCUCCUGCAGAUUGGAAGGCAUAAUCUUUACCACUGAGCCACCUGGGAAGCCUCUGAGACAGUACAGAAAUACUCAAUAAUACUUUCUAAAAAAGUUCCCUCUAGCUUCUUUAUAAACCCUACAAGCCUCCUUGUAUGGUUGUUAUAACAGUGAGAGGUGUCAUUCGAGGGGAAUAUACAAGGUGAGGAGACAGGGCCCAUGGGAUGCAUGUGGAAACACACAGCCUCCUUCCUGGGCUCCUGUUGUGGACCAGGCUCAUCCUAAGUCCACACUCCUAUAAUGAAUAAACAUUCCCUCCCAGCUUUUAAGAUUGAUGAGAAGAAAGACAAGGAAGAGGAAGUUGAUCAGAAGUACUGAAAGAUUUCUUACAGCUGCCUGGUUUCCUGAUACUUAAAUUGUGAAACCUUGAGUUCAGUCUCUCAUCAUUUCUGACAUUUAUUUUGAGUAAGUUCCCAUUUGGGGGAGAAGCCCGUGUAUAGAAAAUAGUAUGGAAAUCUCCCCAUAGUGGUGGUUUAGUUCCUAAGUCCCGUCUGACUCUUGUGACCCCACAGACUGUAGGCUCCUCUGUCAAUGGGAUUUUUGAGGUGUGAAUACCGGAGUGGGUAUCUAUGCCAUUCCCUUCUCCAAGGGAUCUUCUCCACCCAGGAAUCAAACCCAGGCCUCAUGCAUUGCAGACAGAUUAUUUACUGACAGCUGCGAGGGAAGUCUGCCUAUGGAGGGAUUCAAAUUUUUGAAACACACCGGUUUAAAGACUCGGACCUUCUUUCAGAUUCUCUUGACUACGUUAGCUGGAAGUGCUGUCUUGUCAUUUGGAACAACAAGUGUCAGGAGUUACUUGGGAUGAUGUGUGGAAAAGGCUCAUCCAUGCUGGCAGGUUGCAGGGGCUGUUAUCAGCCUGGUUCUUCAUUCUUGGGCUUUCUCUUCAGUCUUGUCCUGACCUUCAUUUUGCCUUGUUGCUCUUUUCAGUAGCUCAGUUGUGUCAGACUUUUCCCGACCCCACAGACUAUAGCACGCCAGCAGGCUUCCUCGUCCUUCACCAUCUUCCGGAACUUGCUCAAACUCAUGUCCAUUGAGUUGGUGAUGCCAUCCAACCUCUCAUCCUCUGUUGCCCCUUUUCUCCUCCUGCUUUCAAUUUUUCCCAGCCUCAGGGUCUUUUCCAGUGAGUCGGAUCUUUGCAUCAGGUGGCCGAAGUAUUGGAACUUCAGCAUCAGUCCUUCCAGUGAGUAUUCAGGGCUGAUUUCCUUUAGGAUUGACUGGUUUGAGCUCCUUAUAGUCCAAAGUACUCUCAAGAGUCUUCAACACAACAGUUCAAAAACAUCAAUUCUUGGAUACUCAGCCAUCUCUAGCUCUCCCAUCCAUAUAAGACUACUGGAAAAACCAAAGCUUUGACUAUACAGACCUUUGGCAAAAUAAUGUCUCUGCUUUCUAGUAUGCUGUCUAGGUUGGUCAUAGAUUUUCUUACAAGGAGCAAGCGUAUUAAUUUCAUGGCUGCAGUCACUGUCUGCAUCUUAGUACUGACUAAGCAUCAACACUCCUGAUUUGCUGCCAAGCUGUUUAAUGACAGUUGUAUUUAUAAUCAGAAUACAAUUUUCCUUUUAUAGAACUCUUCCAAAGUGUUGGUUACUUAUCUCUGCUUUAUUCACCAUCAACAUAUGUCCAGUCUCUCUUCUCUAACUCCCCUCUUCAACUCCUUUCUCACUGUCAUACAGAGCCUGCAAGCCAUGCAUUGAUAGGAAUUGACCAUUAUUGGUUAACCUCAGUGUGACUGUGUUCUUUCUUCAUUGUGCUUAGACGUGUAAGUGAUGCUCCAUAAAAUGAUGGAUGAAUGGGCAUAUGUUAACAGAGACCAUUGGAUGGAUGUUUCUUGGUGUGGGCUCUGCUCUUGAUGAGCUAUAGGACUUGGGGAAGAAGUCUUCAUCGAGAGGUUCAGAGGGUCUUUAAGUGUCUCAUUUCCUUUUUUACCAUUCACACUUGAGAUACAGUCAGAUAUUGUUGGGACUGCCCACACUCCCCCGUUUCUUUUUUUAAUUUAAUUUAAUUUUUUGACACCAAAAACAUUUUGUAUUGGGGUAUAGCCAAUUAAAAAUGUGGUGAUAGUUUCAGGUGAACAGCAAAGGGACUCAGCCUUACAUAUACAUGUAUCCAUUCUCCCCCAAAACCCCUCCCCUCCAGACUGGCACAUAACAUUGAGCAGAGUGCCUUGUGCCAUAUAAUAGGUUUUUGUUGGUUAUCCUUUUUAAAUAUAGCAGUGUGUACAUGACCUUCCCAAAGUCCUUAACUAUCCCUUCUUCCCGGCAACCAUGAGUUCGUUUUCUAAGUCUGUGAGUCCCUUUCUGUUUUGUAAGUUCAUUUGUACCAUUUCUUUUUUAGAUUCUACAUAUAAAGGAUGUCAUAUGGUAUUUCUCCUUCUCUGCCUGGCUUACUUCACUCAGUGUGACUUUCUAGGUCCAACCACGUUGCUGCAAAUAGCCUUCUUUCAUUCUUUUUAAUGGCUGCACACUCCUCCCUUCCGGUAAGCAUCUAACAUCACUCUCUGUAUUGAUCCCAAGUCAUGCUGGUUGGAAACUCAUUGUCAGCUCUCCCCAGUUCUCUCUCCACUGGUCCAGUGUUUGGUGGGAGCUAUGGUGGCUUUUCGGCACUGGUGUGGGUCCCCAGUGAGAUGGUAAGGCAGGUCUGGGUUCAUCCUGCCUUCAGCCAGAGUAGAGAUGUCUCCCAGGCCCGUCAUUUGCCUGCAGCCCCACCUUCCUCACCACCCAGCCCUGGUUUUUCCUCUGGGUUGGGGUUCUUUCUACCAUCUUCUCUGCAGUUGGUCCUUGAGAAGGCGGAAGGGAAGGGAGGGGAGGGAGGAGCGAAUGAAGCCAGUCCUCAGUGCAGAGCCUCCUGGGGUGGGGAGACCCCCAUGACCAUGCUGGAUUGUUCAGCCACAGAAAGAUGUUCGUUUUGAAAUUCUGCAUCAUGGAAAUCGUUACAAAACUCUUGAGUAGAGGUUUUGAAAUCUUUUAAUGUUCAGGCAGUAUAAUUAUUUCUUAAUCUUAACUACAGUGCUGUUUUAAAAAUUCUUUAAGCUGUGCAUGUUAGUCGCUCAGUCAUGGCUAGCUCUUUGUGACACCCAUGGGUGUAGCCUGCCAGGCUCCUCUGUCCAGGGGAUUUUCCAGGCAAAAAUACUGGAGAGGGUUGCCAUUUCCUUCUCUAGGGGAUCUUCCUGACCCAGGGAUCAAACCUGGGUCUCCUGCAUUUGCAGACAGAUUUUUUACUAUCUGAGCAACCAGCCUCUCCUUAAAUACUUGGGGUAGAUCAGUGACCUUUCAAACUUCUUUGACCUUGAUCCAUAUCAAGAAACAUCAUGUUUUAUCUUGUGCCAGAAUGCACAUCCAUCUAUAUGCAAAGAAAGAAAGAGGAAGAGAGAAAGAAAAUUUGGUGAAAAGCCCCUCCCCACAGCUUGUAGCGGGUGGGGAGUGUGACCCCAGGCAGUCCUCUGAGGCCAGCUUGGUGAGAUGUAAAAUACACAGAAGUGAGGAAUCCCUGGUGACUUGGUGGUUAGGACUUUCUGCUUUCACUGCUGUGGCCUGGGUUCAGUCCUUGGUCUGGGAACUAUGAUCCAGCAAGCAGCUUGGCCCCAAAAUAACUACAUAAGUAAAGUAAAAUGCAUAGAGGUGAGCCCAGCUAUUCUAUAAGCUCCUGUCCAAUAAGGUUUAUUACACAAACACAAAUUAAGAUACAUCUGCCUUUCCAUGUGGUGCUAGUGGUAAAAAAAACCCUCCUGCCAAUGCAGGAGACAUAAGAGAUGAGGGUUUGAUCCCGGGGUUCGGAAGAUCCCCUGGAGGAGGGCAUGGUGACCCACUCCAGUAUUUUUGCCUGGAGAAUCCCAUGGACAGAGGAGCCUGGCGGGCUGUAGUCCAUGGAGUCACAAAGAAUUGAAUAGUACUGAAGCAACUUAGCAGGCAUACAAUGAAUGCUAUACCUUGUAAAUAUCUUUAAAAUAGAAUUAAAUUAUACUUACUAAUGUGAAAGAUGUUCUUUAAAAAGCUGAACACAAGCUGAACAGUAAUAUAUAUUACCAUUUCUGAAAUAUAAUAGUUAUGUUGACACAGUGAUAAACUAUGAAUAUCAAUGAUUUUUUUAUACUAAAGUUUUCAAUACUGAUUUUUUCUGGGUAAUAGGUGAAUGCUGAUUUUACUUUUUUACAUCUUUCUUUUGUUACAAAGAUUAUGACUUAUGUGGUUUUAGGACAGUGGUGUGAUGGGCGAUGACGCGUAAUAAGAUGGUGAGACAGCAGGAAACUUUAAGGGAAUGGGCAGACUGACCCUAGAGGAACUCAUGCACUGCAGACGGUGUAAGCAGACAGAAUAUUUUCCUAAAGAAGUGUCUACUGAUAUUUACUCAUAUUUAGUACUGAGUUUCUCGAGAACCUACCGUCCAUUAGCCCCAGUUUCGGGGAGGAAGCCCUGAAGGGGAGAAGGGGUAUGGGUGGGGAGAACAGACCAGUUUGCACAGCAUCCCUGGUGGCCAGGCAGUGAUGAGGCAGUCCACGCAGGCGCGAAGGAGCCGUGCCCCCAGGACCCUCAGUGGUGGAUUUCACUGUGUAGGCCAAGGUGAAUCUUGUGGAAAGUCUCUGUGGGAAACCGUUUUUUCCCCAUCACAAUCACUUUCUUGGCUAGACUCUUCUGUAACAAAGUAUUGGUGUGUUACCAAAAAAUGUAGAGACACAGAGAUACUCAGUAAUGGCUGUGUCCUCUGAAUAGGUGAGUGUCAUCCUCUGAAUAGGUGGAUGAUUAACAAGGGGAGGAACAGGGACUUCUGCGGAGACUAACUGGGGGCUAGAAAGUAGUAUCUAUUGCCUUUGUACAUGACCUAAGACUCGUUUGUAGUCACCAGCGAGCAGAUACUUGGUCACUCCCCUGGGAGGUGAUGACCUUCUCCAGACAUUUAUCUGACUCUUCCUGAUGAGGCAACACUGCUGAGGGGAAAAAGGAGUUGAGUUCUAAGUUUCUGUAGGGUUAUCAGUAUUUUCCAUUUGACUUAAAUGCAGAUUUAAGUUGGGAUUUCCCUGCAGUCCAGUGGUCAGGAUCUGGGCUCUCAGUGCAGGAGGCAUGGGCUCAAUUCCUUGGUGAGGAGCUAAGAUUCCCAAAGCGUGCCAAUAAAUAAGUAAAUAAACAAAUGGAGACUGCUGUACAGCAUCGGCUUGGUGUUGGCCUUGUUCUUACCAUAUACAAAUUAGUGUGUUUAAAAACAUCACCGUGCAUGUAAGAAUUAAAGAUUUUAAAAUUUAAAAAAUAAAAAAAAAUAAAAAUGAAAAAACAAAACAAACAAAAAAAAAAACAUCACCGUAACCAGGAAUGGCAACAGUUGGACAAAACGGGAUAAUUGGGCAAUUCUGCAAGGAAUGCCUUUGCAUAAUCAGACAUGGCCUGUUGAAUACAUGCUGUGUUCAGUGCCUGCUGCAUGCUAAGUUGCAUCAGUCAUGUCCAACGUGUCCAACUCUUUGCAACCUUAUGGACUGCAGCCCCUGAGGGAUUAUUAGUUUUAACCUUGAGAAGAGAUAGUGUAAUGUGGUGGAAAGAAGAUAGUCUUCCAGCUGACACAAAUCAGAAGACAGGUGAACUUCUGAUCUGCCUGGGGCACCAGGAAUCACCAGAGGCUACGGGGUGAGCUUGGUGUUCUUGGCAUUCAAAGAUGCCCUCAGGAGUGGGACAUGGGGCCAUAGCCUGGCUCUCAGAGCGAGAUUGUUUUUGCCCUAGACAGGUGAACACAGCACUCUGCAAACAGGACAGGACUCUUGGUAACAGUGAGGGUACGAUGCUUGGUCAUGUAGGGUUGGGGGAGAAGGAAUUUACCACUUGAAGACCUUAGAGAAAGGCAUCCUUAAAUAAUGAGAGACUUUAUCAUCCGAGGAGUGAUGGACCAAUACAAUAGUGGAUGUGUUCCCUGCUUCAGAAAAGUUGCUAAUACACGGUUUAUGGUCAUCAGGAUAAUUAAACACGCACCCCAAGAGUUGGCUUUUGUCUCUCUGGACCAUGUUGACUUUUCCAACUGUUUCAACUUUAAUGCAUGGCAAGUGUACAUAAAAAACAAUAUUCAACAGUUCAGUUACAUAACUGUCUACAUACCUUUUAUUUUAUGGUUUUCAAUUAUUUUAAAAGUUUUAAAUAAGUGAAGAUAACCACUAAAUGAGAAAUUAAUGGUCAUUUUCCAUAAAUUCCUUUAUCUGUGGAUAACCUUUCAAAUUUUUAAUAGAAAAAAUUUCUGAGCAGUUUGGUAAAUGACUUGAAUGUUACCUUAUUGCUAUAGUUCUAUCUUCAGCUAAGGGUAUGCUGCACAGCCCCAUUUAACAAAUGACUCAUCCCCUCUGGUGUCAGCCACUGGACUCUGGACAUCACCUGUCUACCUUGGUGUCCAACAUGAAAAUCAGACUCUCAGAAGAGAAAGAUAUCUUGGCUGUGUUUCUCGAACAUAGGCCUUAUCAAGCAGUCACUUUCUCUUGAGCACUGGGUCUCAAAAGUUAGCGUCUGUCCCAGUGAUUCUAACAGUGGUAAAGGAGGUCACAUUGUGAGAAGCACUGUGACAGGUAUAUUUCUGUUGGCCAACGUGGCCCAUUUCAUUUUUGUCCAGCUGUGGAUAUUCAACAGCUUUUUUUGUCUUGUACUGUUCUGCUUGUUGGUUCUAGUUCUACACUGUUUCUGCACAGUUGAAGCCAGCCGCUGUUGGACUGACUAUCCAACCAUUGUGGCUGUAAGUAUGGAAUGUGUAGGGACAUAAUUGUUGUACUGUCCACCCAGCACUAUUACUUCACCUCUCUUCUAACAGAGCCCAGAUUAUGUCAAGAUCCAGCUUUUCCAUGGAAGUUUCUGCAGAAGUUUUCCAUAUCCCCAUCUAUAUAAACUGGCUCUGAUUGGUCAAAUGCUACUAUUCUUACCAGUGAUUGGUUCAUGAGUGGUGUACUUUGGGUUGAAUGGUAAUCGGUGAAAAAAGUGAUGCUCCAUAGAUGGUCCUAAGCUACAAAUAGAAAAGGUGUAGGAGAGAGAGGAGAGAAGAAAAGUCAGACCUGGACAAAAGAUAAAGAAAUACAACACAAUAUGUGAAAGUCAGGAACCUGGAAAUUGGAAGGGAGAUAGUGUAAGUUAUUCUGAUCAAUAAUUUGUGAUCUGUACUGUGUGUGGUUGUCUGCUCUGUGUUUGUCCUAGUCGCACAGACCAGUGUGGAAUUAAUGCUGAUAACUGGGCUUCUGUAAUCACAGUGGAUUUUUUUAAAUGUAUAUUUAUUGGGAGAAAAGUUAUGACAAACCUAGAUAGUGAUUAAGAAGCAGAGGCAUCACUUGGCUGACAAAGGUCCAUAUAGUCAAAGCCAUGGUUUAUCCAGUAGUCACAUAUGAAUGUGAGUUGGACCAUAAAGAAGAUUGAUCACCCAAGAAUUGACACUUUUGAAUUGUAGUGCUAGAGAAGACUCUUGAGAGUCCCUUGGACAACAAGGAGAUCAAACCAGUCAAUCCUAAAGGAAAUCAACCCAGAAAUUCAUUGGAAGGACUGAUGCUGAAGCUCUAAUACUUUGGCCACCUGAUUCGAAGGACCGACUCAUUGGAAAAGACCCUGAUGCUGAGAAAGAUUGAGGGAAGGAGGAGAAGGGGGUGACAGAGAUGAGAUGGUUGGAUGGCAUCACCGACUCAAUGGACAUGAGUUUGAGCAAACUUCAGGAGAUAGUGAAGGACAGAGAAGCCUGGCGUGCUGCAGCUCAUGGGGUCGCAAAGAGUCGGCCACGACUGCACGACUGAACAGCAGCACAUUUAUUGAGUAUUGUGUGUCAGGCAUUGUGGUGGGUUCUUGGGGGAAACAUAAACCUUAAUAAGUGUGAACUUCCUGUCCUAAAGAGUUUAUUGUGUUCUAGUCUGUCUGGGCUGUUCACACACCAGAGGCUGACAAAUUAAUUUGCUGUGGUCAUGGGUGGGACAGUCACCUUGCUCAGGAAAUCCCUAGGCAUCUGAAUCAGUGCACAGAAACCAAGAGUUCUGGUAAAGAAGGAAGGCAGUGUGUGAAGUGGUUAGAGCACAGUAUAUGAAAUUAAUCACAUUUGGGCUCAAAUUCCAGGUCUGUCUCUUCCUAGGCAUAAGAUGCUGGUUUUGCUGACCUCAGAUUUAAACCUCAGAGGCUGGUUGCGGGGAUUCCAGGAUGUAAUAGGUUCAGAACUAAACUAUGUUUGAAGCACAUAGCCAAUGGUAGUCAUUGUUAUGAACAAAAGAAAGUUGCUUAGGAUUGUUACUACCAAAAAAAUCAAACUGAUAGGAAGAAACCCCAGAAAAUAAUAAAUGUUGGUGAGGAUAUAGAGAAAUUGGAAUCUUUCUGCACUGGUGUUGGGACUGUAGUGCAGACCCUUUGGAAAACAGUAUGGCAGUUACUCCCAAAAUUAAACACAGAAUUACCUUUCAAUUCAGCAGUUCCACUUGUCUGUAUAGACCCCCCAAAAUUGAAAGUGGGUCUCCAAGAGAUAUUUGUAUGCCCACAUUCUAGCAGCAUUAUUCACAAUAGCCAGGGGGUAGAAGCAACUCAAGUCUCCAUCAACAAGUGAAUGGAUAAACAAAAUAUGGUGUAUACAUACAAGGGAAUAUCAUACAACCUUGAAAAGGAAGGAGACUCUGAUGCAGGCUACAACACGGAUGUAUCUUGAGAACAGUAUGUUAAGAGGAAUAAAAGGACAAAUAUUGUAUGAUUCCAUCUAUGAGGUCCUUUUGCUGUUGUUCAUUUGCUAAAGUCCUGUCUAACUUUUUACGACCCCAUGAGUUGCAGCUUGCUGGGCUUCUGUGUCCUUCACUAUCUCCUGGAGUUUGCUCAGACUCAUGUCUGUUGAGUUGGUGAUCCCAUCCAACCAUCUCAUCCUUUGCCACCCCCUUCUCCUCCUGCCCUCAAUCUUUCCCAACAUCGGUGUCUUUUCCAAUGACUCGGCUCUUUGUAUCAGGUGCCCAAAGAAUUAGAGCUUCAGCAUCAGUCCUUUCAGUGAAUAUUCAGGGACAAUGCUGUGAAAGUGCUACAUUCAAUAUGCCAGCAAAUUUGGAAAACUCAGCAGUGGCCACAGGACUGGAAAAGGUCAGUUUUCAUUCCAAUCCCAAAGAAAGGCAAUGUCAAAGAAUGUGCAAACUACCGCACAGUUGCACUCAUCUCACACGCUAGUAAAGUAAUGCCUAAAAUUCUCCAAGCCAGACUUCAGCAAUACGUGAACCAUGAACUUCCAGAUGUUCAAGCUGGUUUUAGAAAAAGCAGAACCAGAGAUCAAAUUGCCAGCAUCUGCUGGAUCAUUGAAAAAGCAAGAGAGUUCCAGAAAAACAUCUAUUUCUGCUUUAUUGACUAUGCCAAAGACUCUGACUGUGUGGAUCACAAUAAACUGUGGAAAAUUCUUCAAGAGAUGGGCAUACCAGACUACCUGACCUGCCUCUUGAGAAAUCUGUAUGCAGGUUAGGAAUCAACAGUUAGAACUGGACAUGGAACAACAGACUGGUUCCAAAUAGGAAAAGGAGUACGUCAAGGCUGUAUAUUGUCACUCUACUUAUUUAACUUAUAUGCAUGGUACAUCAUGAGAAAUGCUGGGCUGGAGGAAGCACAAGCUGGGAUCAAGAUUCCCAGGAGAAAUAUCAAUAACCUCAGAUAUGCAGAUGAUACCACCCUUAUGGCAGAAAGUGAAGAAGAACUAAAGAGCCUUUUGAUGAAAGUGAAAGAGGAGAGUGAAAAAGUUGGCUUGAAGCUCAACAUUCAGAAAACAAAGAUGAUGGCAUCUGGUCCCAUCACUUCAUGGGAAAUAGAUGGGGAAACAGUGGAAACAGUGUCAGACUUAUUUUUCUGGGCUCCAAAAUCACUGCAGAUGGUGAUUGCAGCCAUGAAAUUAAAAGACGCUUACUCCUUCGAAGGAAAGUUAUGACCAACCUAGACAGCAUAUUAAAAAACAGAGACAUUGUCAACAAAGGUCCAUCUAGUCAAGGCUAUGGUUUUUCCAGUGGUCGUGUAUGGUUGUGAGAGUUGGACUAUAAAGAAAGCUGAGUGCUGAAGAAUUGAUGCUUUUGAACUGUGGUAUUGGAGAAGACUCUUGAGAGUCCCUUGGACUGCAAGGAGACCCAACCAGUCCAUCCUAAAGGAGAUCAGUUCUGGGUGUUCAUUGGAAGGACUGAUGUUGAAGCUGAAACUCCAGUACUUUGUGCACCUGAUGCUGGGAAAGAUUGAGGGCAGGAGGAGAAAGGGAUGACAGAGGAUGAGAUGGUUGGAUGACAUCACCGAUUCAAUGGACAUGGGUUUGGGUGAACUCUGGGGGUUGGUAAUGGACAGGGAGGCCUGGCGUGCUGCGGUUCAUGGGGUCGCAAAGAGUCGGACACGACUGAGCGACUGAACUGAACUGAUUUCCUUUAGGAUUGACUGGUUUGGUUAGAAAUCUAAUUCAUAGAGACAGGAAAUAGAAUGGUGUUUGCCAGGGGCGGGGGAAGUAGAAAAGAAGUUGUUUGAUGGACCUGGAAUCUCAGCGUUGUAAGAUGAAAAGAGUUCUAGAGAUGCAUGAUAACGGUCACACAAGACUACGUAGGCACUUAUUUGUACAGUUAAGGAUGCUAAGAUGUUAAUUUUGUUAUGUGUGUUUUAAUACAUUGUUAAAAAGUUGUUGAACUUCUCUGGGGAUCCAAUGGUUAAGACUCUGCCUUCCAAUGCAGAGUGUGGGUUUGACCUUGGUCAGGGAGCUGAGGUCCCACAUGACUCAUGGCCCUAAAACCAAAACAUUAAAAAAAAAAAAGCAAUAAAAAGACUAAACAAAGAGUCAGUAUUCAAUAAAAAGACUUUUAAAAAUAAAAAAAAAUUUUUAAGUUAACUUGGUAAUCAGAAAAGUAAAAGUUGCUCAGUUGUGCCCAACUUUUUACAACCACAUAGACUGUAGCCCACCAGGCUCCUAUGUCCAUGGAAUUCUCCAGGCAAGAAUACUGGAGUGAGUAGCUGUUUCCUUCUCCAGGGGAUCUUUCCAGCACAGGGGCUGAACCCAUGUCUCCUGUGUUGGAGGCAGAUUCUUUACUGUCUGAACCACCAGGGAAGCCCCUGGUAAGCAGAACUGUGUACAAAUAUUAAUAGAUGAGGGUGGUCUGGAAACAAGUUAGAAGCUUAUAAGCAUGGGCUUCUCUGGUGACUCAGCUGGUAAAGAAUCUGCCUGCAACGCAGGAGACCUGGGUUCGAUCCCUGGAAAAGGGGAUGGCUACCCAUUCCAAUAUUCUAGCCUGGAGAAUUCCGUGGACAGAGGAGCCUAGCAGGCUACAGUCCAUUGUUUCCCAAGAGUUGGACAUAGCUCAGCGACUAACACACACAAGGACAAGCUAAGCGACUUUCUUUCAGGGCCUUUUAGAAAAGGUGAAAUGGAUGGCUCUAAAAGGCAAUUUCUAAUUUGAUAGUUAUGUUAUUUCUAGCCACAGACCCUCAAUUCCAAAUUACAUAACAGGAAAGAAUAUUUUCAGUGGAUUUCUUAAUACAUGUGAAGAGGUUUUUUUUAAAAAAAACUUUCCCAGCG
ensembl:lncRNA